rnacentral:ncRNA from 2 species
UUCAUCCACUAGGGGUGCCGUUUUGGCUGAGAUAGUCUACUAAUUGCAGACUUGUCCCUUUGAACCUGAUCUAGAUUACACUAGCGUAGGAAAUGUGGAGUCGGUUCUGU